rnacentral:rRNA from 1 species
UACGUAGGGUGCAAGCGUUUAAUCGGAAUUACUGGGCGUAAAGCGUGCGCAGGCGGCUAUGCAAGACAGAUGUGAAAUCCCCGGGCUCAACCUGGGAACUGCAUUUGUGACUGCAUGGCUAGAGUACGGUAGAGGGGGGAUGGAAUUCCGCGUGUAGCAGUGAAAUGCGUAGAUAUGCGGAGGAACACCGAUGGCGAAGGCAAUCCCCCUGGACCUGUACU